AAUAGCACCAGAAGUAAAGAGUCUUGUCUUGGCCACAAAUUGGCAGCUUAUGCACCAGCUGAACCCAACCUAACCCAACCACGCUGAGCAACUACUUUGGGAGGACAUGGAGAGGCUCUGGACAAGAAUGAUGCAAAGGCCUCUGCCUCUCGGCCACCUACAGUCACUACUGGCAUGGGUGCAAUAAACCCAAGGCUCAGACUCGGACAUAGCAAGUCACCAGGGAAGCAAGGGGGAGAGACGGUACUGCUACUGCCACUAGCUGACCAGGACCUCUGGGACAAGACUUCAGAUGGGCACCUCACCUCUUAGUCACGUCUACAGAUUAAAUGAGAGAACCACAGCCAAACCACCUCUCCAGAAGCUGAAUCUGGAAAGACACCUUGAGCUGCCUCUCUGGAGGCCCCCAGUGGAUUCUAACAGGCCAAAGAAGAAAGCUGCAUCCCUUGCGCUCCCCAAGGGCAACUAACCUCCCUACUGCACAUGAACAAUCUGGGGGCCCCUCAAGGGGAAAAAGGGGGGGAUGAACAGCUGUCCAGGAUUUAAGAGAAGUUGGCAGGGUGGUUGGUGACUCGGGCUUGGUCAGUAAUGUUGCAGUGGGUGACCAUGGUGGCUCAGAGGACGAAAAGAUUACUCGGAGGCAAGACUUGGUCUGAACUCUAAGAGGGACUGUCCUGAUGAAAGCACCCAGCAAGAAGGAGUCUCAAGGGAGCAGUCCUGACUUUUUUGCAGGGAAAUACUGCACGGGAAGAAAAACAGCUGGGAUGUGAGAGAACAAUGAGCCACCCACUGAGUCCUGGUGACACCGCCUCGAACACUGAUCCUUAAUGUGCCUACUUGUUGCCAUCACCCACCCAAGCUUGUCAUCUCUCACCUGGAGACUCCCAAGGCCUCCUGGCGGUUCCUGACCUCAACCUUGCCUCCUACAGAACAAGUAGGAAAAUCUUAUUAGGACACAAGGGUGAUUGUAUCGUGCAGCUCAACGCACAUACCUUUAGCACCCCUUGUGGUUAACAUAGAAUCCAAACUCCCUCUCUUGCCUCCCAUGUUCUACUACCCUGACCACAGCACUGAUCCCAUCUCCCCUAGGUCUUCCUCCAUCUACCCCCUUCAGUCACAGCCACCCUCUCUAGGGCCUUCUUUAGGGAGGAUAGAGGACACAGCGUAGCCCAACACAGGCCUUCUCCCCUGAGGUGAAAAGGAACCCAUAAGUCCCUCCUUCAAACACCUUUCCUUGCUCUCUAUGACCUAACUGCCCAAUGACAACCCCUUCCAAGCUAUCCCUUCUAUACUGUCUCUCUCAAGGUUGUAACUCUACUAUAUGCCUGGUAUGUCUCCAACCUUGGUUGACUUCAUGGUUCCCACCUGUUCCUAUCCUCCCAGUCAUCAUCAAGAGCUGAGGUCCAACCUAUUUUCUCUUUAGGGACCUUGCCCAGCAGCUGGGUCCCACGCUGAACCAAGAGGGAGGGGCCAGGCGAGAGAACCAACCUGGCAGUCUUUCCUGGGUGUUUAAAUCUCUUCCUUAUGCCAAGAACUUUCCAUACCCCCUCUUUUAUUUCCCUAACAAAGCAAGUAACAGUGUAGUAGCUCUAUGUCACCCAGGCCACCAAUCAUACUCAAUUCAUAAAACGCUAUAUUGUUUUCCAAUUCCUUCAAAAGCAUUUCUCUUGCCUACCCCCUGUGUAUCACCCAUUCAUCCCAACUAUUUUGUAGGUGUGCUGUAUGGGGACAACUCCUGGCCCUGCACAUGUCAGCUGCAAAAUCCCUGGCAAGUCCUCAGGCUCCCCAAGCUUCAGUUUUUCACCUAUAAAAUGGACAUUAACACCUAAUUCAAGACUUUGUGCAGACUAAGUCUGAUCACAGGCACAGAGCCCAACAUGGUAAUAUUCUGCAUUAGUAUUAUCACUUAGGACAUACACACUGAGCAUCCAUCCCAUAGAAGGCUGUGCGAUGAUGAAUAUAAAAGAGAUAAAAGGCUCUCUUAGAGCCCUGGUGUGCAACAAGAAAGACACACACAAACAACCACAACUAUGAUAACUGCAAAUACACAGUAUGUGCCAGGCACUAUAAAAUGUACACAAAUAUUCAUGUAAUCUCCACGUCAACCUUAUGAAACAUCAUCCCCAUUUAAUAGAUGAGGAAAUGGAGGCAAAGAAAAGUUAAGUAAUUAUUCCAAGAAUCAUAUAGUGGGGGCAGUGUCGGGGUUGAAAGCAAUACAAUCAGGUCCCAGGGCCUGGGAGUUCAGCUCCUUGGCUCUACUGUGUGGCCAGCAGGAUGAGGCAAAAGCAUAGCAAAAGCAGGUAUCUUUUCCCUCCACAGCAUCUGCCAUCAGUUAGGACGGCAGGAAGUAGGGAGGUGCUCAGUAAAUAAACCUGACUGCUGAGUGGAAGCCUGCGCAGGAUUUCCAUUUUAUCAUCCAGCUGCUGUCUGGUCAUCUUUGGGGCUAUGCGUCCAUGUCACUGUCAUCGUCAGCCCCAUCGGAAAAGCAAGCAAGCUGACUGUGGAAGGCCUCGCACAAGGUGUGGCCACGGAUCUCCUGGAAAUCUGGGCAGACCACCCAGCAGGCUUCCCACCCACAAGCCGGCUCUGAGGGCAGGAAGUGGAAUCCGGAGACAAGCAGGAAGGGGGGGGUGUGCAUUCAAGACCGUCUACCCAACUGUUACUGCAGCAGCCUAGAGGUGCAUUGAGGAAGGGGUAUCCCGCAGUCACAUAAACUCUGUGUCUUCCACACAUUUCCAGCCUGCAGUCCCCACCUCUGGAAGGAAAAAACAAGGACUGCCCGGCACACCCAGUGAUGGAAGGAAAGUGCCUAGGAGUCAGAGAACGUGAGUCAGCAGAGCGCGGCUGCUGAUUCUUAAGAAAAAUGGAUUUGACUAUGUGAUGAUCUCCUGGAACAGAAGGGACCUGGCUUUCCCUGGGCAAUAGGUGAUGUUCAAGGCUUAGGAACAGGAGAUAAACCACAUGCUGCUAAGUAAACCGGAGCAUUCUCUGAUCCAAAAGAUAAAGCUGCUGUACUCAGGACUCCAGAAGAAAUUUUUAAAAUAUACAGAUGAUUUAUUCCCACCAGGGAGGGUUGAAAUCCUAAGUGUUUAAAUAAAUUUAACCGAGCAAUGUGAAGAGUCUUUCGUAGUUCUCAUGGUGGUGCAGCAUUCUCAAGGCCUCUCAACGUCUUAAAGUGUAUCAUGAGACUGCAAGAAUUAAAUCAGGAUGAUAAGAAUAGAGCAGAAACUGAAUCACACGAAAAGUCCAAAAAGAGACCCAUCUGUAUCAUAAAGUGAAAUAACUGGGGAGAGGAAAUGACAGACCAGAACCAAAACGUGGUGCUGGUACCGCUGGCGAACCAUCUGAGAAGAGUAACAGGCUACUUCGGGCCUUGUGUCAACGUAUCCCACUGCAAAAAGUGAAACUGCAAGAAUUACUGGAAGAAAAUGUAAGUAAAUAUUUACAUAAUCUCCAGACUAAGAAGGCCUUUAUAAGGACGACACCAAAAAAAAAGCCAUAAGAUAUACACAGGUUGAAUAUCCCUAAUCCAAAAUUCUGAAAUCUAAAGUGCUUCAAAAUCUGAAACUCACUGAAGACCACACUAUUCCUCAAUGGAAAA